ACGGUAGACCAAACUGUCCCCUAACACAUCGCCAACACAAGACACAAGCGGAGUAAUUCAACACUGAUUUCUCUGCGAAUGAGCGAGGAACAGACGAGAUGCCAAAAACUCCAGCGAGAAGCAUUAUUGGGACUUUAGGAAAACUCACCGUGUGACUAACUGAAAGAAAGAGAGAAGACCUGAAGCGACGAGGAGGCGUAAAGAGCCGCGUGCUUGUUCUUCAUGAACUUUGCGGAGCGCUGUGACCAUGCAGCCUUUGAGCUAGUGCACGAUUAUUGUUUCCACUUAUCACCCUACUGAGUGACCAGUCUGAGAGAGGAAGCCAGUCAAAAAGGAAAGGAAGACUAAUAAAGACAGUUGUCGUUGAAAGUAAUGGUCUGAAGACAUCACUCAUAGAACAGGAUUUUCUUUCCCUUUUGCGUUGCUCUGCUGAAGGUUUCUGGAAUCACUGGGACAUUCACGAGAGCUGGAGGGACACAUCCACAUGGUCCAGCCGUAGAGUGAAAGUAGAGUUCUUCACAAUAUCCUAACAGGUGCCACGUGAUGAUGGUAGAAUCAGCAACUGAGACCAUUCGAACCACACCCUCCAAUCAAAAUGGAGUCAGCAGUCUAAGCAGCCAAUCAGACGGCGGAGGAAGAGAGGGAGGGUCCAACGGUGACACCAAUGGGGAGAUCAGCCCGGUGGAUUUACUGCACCUUCAACAGCAGCAGGCCCUCCAGGCAGCACGCCAGUUCAUCCUCCAGCAGGCCACAGGACUCAACUCCCCCAGCAGCAACGAGAUCAAACAGAGCCCUGU